UGUUUUUUCACCAUUCUAAAUGUGUUAUUACGGUGGGGAUUGGACAAUAUUGCAAUCCUGGUCUGAAAUUGGAUUUGUAUUUUUUUAUUUGCUCUGGUCUUGGUCUCAAACACUGCUGGGCAGUCUACAAAGAACUUUGACACCAGGAAGACACCCAGCUGUCGUCAGGGCUUCAUGGAGCUCAACAUGAUGGAGGCCAGUGAGAGGGAGGGAGAACACACAGACCUCAGGUAGUGUACUUUGGAGCCGGUCAGUCUGGAUUCAAGCAACAGGAUGCUGAACAUGGCCCUGCAGAGGCCCAUCACGGCCAGGUCAUAGGUCAAAACUCUCAGGGAUCAGGAGAACGUCCUGGUCUACACCUACAGAGGAGAACACAGGAUCUCAACUGUCAAUUCCAACUAGGUGAAGGACUAGAAUCAACACUAUUUAGAGGUUUAUUGAACCAACAAGAUGAUCUUCCACUAGAGCAGGGUUUCCCAAACUCGGUCCUGGGGCCCUCCUUUAGUCCACAUUUUGUUUUUUGCCCAAG